rnacentral:rRNA from 1 species
UACAGAGGUCCCAAGCGUUGUUCGGAAUUACUGGGCGUAAAGGGCUCGUAGGCGGCCAACUAAGUCAGACGUGAAAUCCCUCGGCUUAACCGGGGAACUGCGUCUGAUACUGGAUGGCUUGAGAUUGGGAGAGGGAUGCGGAAUUCCCAGUGUAGCGGUGAAAUGCGUAGAUAUUGGGAGGAACACCGGUGGCGAAGGCGGGUCUCUGGGCCGUAACUGACGCUGAGGAGCGAAAGCGUGGGGAGCGAACAGG